rnacentral:rRNA from 1 species
CCUACUGCUAUCGGGGUGGGACUAAGACAUGCGAGUCGGGCGUCUCCAGCUAUGGUGAGACGCGGCAGACGGCUCAGUAACCACGUGGCUAACCUACCCUCAGGACAGGGACAAACCCGGGAAACUGGGGCUAAUACCCGAUAGGCGAGGGCGCCUGGAAUGGUUCUUCACCCAAAGGGCUUUGGAAGCAUGCUUUUCAAAGUCGCCUGGGGAUGGGGCCGCGUCCGAUCAGGUUGUUGGUGAGGUAACGGCUCACCAAGCCUAUAACCGGUACGGGCCGUGAGAGCGGUAGCCCGGAGAUGGGCACUGAGACAAGGGCCCAGGCCCUACGGGGCGCAGCAGUCGCGAAAACUCCGCAAUGCACGAAAGUGUGACGGGGCUACCCCGAGUGCCGUCCGCUGAGGAUGGCUUUUCCUCGGUGUAACUAGCCGGGGGAAUAAGGAGAGGGCAAGACUGGUGUCAGCCGCCGCGGUAAUACCAGCUCUCCGAGUGGUAGGGAUGAUAUUGGGCUUAAAGCGUCCGUAGCCGGCUUAGCAAGUCUCCUGUUAAAUUCAGCGACCUAAUCGUUGAGCCGCGGGAGAUACUACUAGGCUAGGAGGCGGGAGAGGUCGACGGUACUUCCGGGGUAGGGGUGAAAUCCUAUAAUCCCGGGCGGACCACCAGUGGCGAAGGCUGUCGACUAGAACGCGCUCGACGGUGAGGGACGAAAGCUGGGGGAGCGAACCGGAUUAGAUACCCGGGUAGUCCCAGCCGUAAACGAUGCGGGCUAGGUGUUGGGGUGGCUACGUGCCACUUCAGUGCCGCAGGGAAGCCAUUAAGCCCGCCGCCUGGGGAGUACGGCCGCAAGGCUGAAACUUAAAGGAAUUGGCGGGGGAGCACAGCAACGGGUGGAGCGUGCGGUUUA